CUACGGCCAUAUUAAUUCAAAACUUCGGUUCUCGUACGAUCGCUGAAGUUAAGCAACGUCGAGCCAGGUUAGUAUCUAGAUGGUUGACCGCUUCGGAAUAUCAGGUGCUGUAAG